GGUAUCGCCGUUAGUCAUGUGCAAAUAUGGAUAGCUGUUUUAGCCGUCUUUAUUGACUGGUUUAUAAGAGUUAUCAGAUAUCACUUUGAUUAAAUUAGAGUGCUUAAAGCAAGUGUGUUACUUGGAUAUAAAUGCAUGGAAUGAUGGAAUAUGUUGUUAUUCUAUUUGUUGGUUUUUGAAUGAUAAAAUGAUUGAAAGGAACUGUUGGGGGCAUUCGUAUUGUUGUGAGAGAGGUGAAAUUCUUAGACCACAGCAAGACGAACUACUGCGAAAGCAUUUGCCAAGAAUGUUUUCAUUGAUCAAGAACGAAAGUUAGAGGUUCGAAGGCGAUCAGAUACCGCCCUAGUUCUAACCAUAAACUAUGCCAACUAGCAAUUUGCUUUGUAUUUUUUAUGACUAAGUGAGAGGCCACGGGAAACCUAAGUAGGGUUAUGGGGGAAGUAUGGUUGCAAAGCUGAAACUUAAAGGAAUUGACGGAAGGGCACCACCAGGAGUGGAGCCUGCGGCUUAAUUUGACUCAACACGGGAAAACUUACCUGGUCCUGACACUAGAAGGAUUGACAGAUUGAUAGCUCUUUCUUGAUUUGGUGGAUGGUGGUGCAUGGCCGUUCUUAGUUGGUGGAGUGAUUUGUCUGGUUAAUUCCGAUAACGAACGAGACUCUAGCCUAUUAAAUAAUACACGGAAUUUUAUCUUCCGCGGUAUUUCUUAGUGGGAUCAAGCG
rnacentral:rRNA from 1 species